GACGAACGCUGGCGGCGUGCCUAAUACAUGCAAGUCGAGCGCAGGAAACUGACGGAACUCUUCGGAGGGAAGGCAGUGGAAUGAGCGGCGGACGGGUGAGUAACACGUAAGGAACCUGCCUCAAGGAUUGGGAUAACUCCGAGAAAUCGGAGCUAAUACCGGAUAGUUCAACGGACCGCAUGGUCCGCUGAUGAAAGGCGCUCCGGCGUCACCUUGAGAUGGCCUUGCGGUGCAUUGGCUAGUUGGUGGGGUAACGGCCCACCAAGGCGACGAUGCAUAGCCGACCUGGGAGGGUGAUCGGCCACACUGGGACUGAGACACGGCCCAGACUCCUACGGGAGGCAGCAGUAGGGAAUCUUCCACAAUGGACGAAAGUCUGAUGGAGCAACGCCGCGUGAGUGAUGAAGGUUUUCGGAUCGUAAAACUCUGUUGUAAGGGAAGAACACGUACGAGAGGGAAUGCUCGUACCUUGACGGUACCUUACGAGAAAGCCACGGCUAACUACGUGCCAGCCGCCGCGGUAAUAC
rnacentral:rRNA from 1 species